GUAAAGGUUAGGGAGCCCACCCUUCAUCUGCAUCGCCGACACAACGCUCUUCUUCAAGCCAUGGCAACCCCAAACAUCCAGAGUUUCGAGUUUGGAGAGCACAUCAUUGCGUUGCUCCACCGUGGGUGGUCCAUCAAAUAAAUGCUCCAUUCCUCCACAAUAAGACACUCUAACCUUGGUUAAAUUAUCCAUUCCUUGCAAUAAAACGGAUGGGAGUAGAUGCUUUAGUUUAGGACAGUCGUACACUUCCAGCUUCUUAAGUUUGGAGAGCACAUCAUUGCGUUGCUCCACCGUGGGUGGUCCAUCAAAUAAAUGCUCCAUUCCUCUACAAUGAAACACUGUCACAUCGGUUAAAUUAUCCAUUCCUUGCAAUAAAACGGAUGGGAGUAGAUGCUUUAGUUCAGGACAUUCCUCCACUUCCACCUCCUUAAGGUUAUGAA